rnacentral:rRNA from 1 species
AUUGAACGCUGGCGGCAGGCCUAACACAUGCAAGUCGAACGAGUGGGGACGGGUGAGUAACACGUGGGUAACCUCCCAUCAGAGGGGAUAACACUUGGAAACAGGUGCUAAACCGAUACUGAUGGAUGGACCCGCGGUGCAUUAGCUAGUUGGUGAGGUAACGGCUCACCAAGGCCACGAUGCAUAGCCGACCUGAGAGGGUGAUCGGCCCCACUGGGACUGAGACACGGCCCAGACUCCUACGGGAGGCAGCAGUAGGUAAUCUUCGGCAAUGGACGGAAGUCUGACCGAGCAACGCCGCGUGAGUGAAGAAGGUUUUCGGAUCGUAAAGCUCUGUUGUUAGAGAAGCGGUAACUAACCAGAAAGGGACGGCUAACUCCGUGCCAGCCGCCGCGGUAAUAC